rnacentral:pre_miRNA from 1 species
AUACAUGGCAAGUGGCAUGUAUGUAUACAUGCAAUGCAUGUAUACAUACAUGCCACUUGUAUGUAUGUAUACAAGUUGCGCGCUCUCAUCGCGCAACUUGUAUACAUAAGUUGUAUGUAUACAACUUAUGUAU